UACGGAGGGUGCAAGCGUUAUCCGGAUUCACUGGGUUUAAAGGGUGCGUAGGCGGGCAGGUAAGUCCGUGGUGAAAUCUCUGAGCUUAACUCAGAAACUGCCAUGGAUACUAUUUGUCUUGAAUAUUGUGGAGGUAAGCGGAAUAUGUCAUGUAGCGGUGAAAUGCUUAGAUAUGACAUAGAACACCAAUUGCGAAGGCAGCUUACUACACAGUAAUUGACGCUGAGGCACGAAAGCGUGGGGAUCAAACUGG
rnacentral:rRNA from 1 species